GAUGAACGCUGGCGGCGUGCCUAACACAUGCAAGUCGAACGGAGAUUUAACGCUGAUGAAGCUUCGGCAGAAUCUUGUUAAAUCUUAGUGGCGGACGGGUGAGUAACGCGUGGGCAACCUGCCUCAUACUGGGGGAUAGCAGUUGGAAACGACUGAUAAUACCGCAUAAGCGCACAGAGUCGCAUGACUCAGUGUGAAAAACUCCGGUGGUAUGAGAUGGGCCCGCGUCAGAUUAGCUAGUUGGUAAGGUAACGGCUUACCAAGGCGACGAUCUGUAGCCGGACUGAGAGGUCGGACGGCCACAUUGGGACUGAGACACGGCCCAAACUCCUACGGGAGGCAGCAGUGGGGGAUAUUGCACAAUGGAGGAAACUCUGAUGCAGCGACGCCGCGUGAGUGAAGAAGUAUUUCGGUAUGUAAAGCUCUAUCAGCAGGGAAGAAAGACUCGUAAGAGAGAUGACGU
rnacentral:rRNA from 1 species